rnacentral:rRNA from 1 species
CAAUUUAAACAACGAAGAGUUUGAUCCUGGCUCAGGAUGAACGCUAGCGACAGGCUUAACACAUGCAAGUCGAGGGGCAGCACAGGUAGCAAUACCGGGUGGCGACCGGCGCACGGGUGAGUAACGCGUAUGCAACUUGCCUAUCAGAGGGGGAUAACCCGGCGAAAGUCGGACUAAUACCGCAUGAAGCAGGGAUCCCGCAUGGGAAUAUUUGCUAAAGAUUCAUCGCUGAUAGAUAGGCAUGCGUUCCAUUAGGCAGUUGGCGGGGUAACGGCCCACCAAACCGACGAUGGAUAGGGGUUCUGAGAGGAAGGUCCCCCACAUUGGUACUGAGACACGGACCAAACUCCUACGGGAGGCAGCAGUGAGGAAUAUUGGUCAAUGGCCGAGAGGCUGAACCAGCCAAGUCGCGUGAGGGAUGAAGGUUCUAUGGAUCGUAAACCUCUUUUAUAAGGGAAUAAAGUGCGGGACGUGUCCCGUUUUGUAUGUACCUUAUGAAUAAGGAUCGGCUAACUCCGUGCCAGCAGCCGCGGUAAUACGGAGGAUCCGAGCGUUAUCCGGAUUUAUUGGGUUUAAAGGGUGCGUAGGCGGCCUUUUAAGUCAGCGGUGAAAGUCUGUGGCUCAACCAUAGAAUUGCCGUUGAAACUGGGGGGCUUGAGUAUGUUUGAGGCAGGCGGAAUGCGUGGUGUAGCGGUGAAAUGCAUAGAUAUCACGCAGAACCCCGAUUGCGAAGGCAGCCUGCCAAGCCAUUACUGACGCUGAUGCACGAAAGCGUGGGGAUCAAACAGGAUUAGAUACCCUGGUAGUCCACGCAGUAAACGAUGAUCACUAGCUGUUUGCGAUACACUGUAAGCGGCACAGCGAAAGCGUUAAGUGAUCCACCUGGGGAGUACGCCGGCAACGGUGAAACUCAAAGGAAUUGACGGGGGCCCGCACAAGCGGAGGAACAUGUGGUUUAAUUCGAUGAUACGCGAGGAACCUUACCCGGGUUUGAACGCAUUCGGACCGAGGUGGAAACACCUUUUCUAGCAAUAGCCGUUUGCGAGGUGCUGCAUGGUUGUCGUCAGCUCGUGCCGUGAGGUGUCGGCUUAAGUGCCAUAACGAGCGCAACCCUUGCCACUAGUUACUAACAGGUUAGGCUGAGGACUCUGGUGGGACUGCCAGCGUAAGCUGCGAGGAAGGCGGGGAUGACGUCAAAUCAGCACGGCCCUUACAUCCGGGGCGACACACGUGUUACAAUGGCGUGGACAAAGGGAGGCCACCUGGCGACAGGGAGCGAAUCCCCAAACCACGUCUCAGUUCGGAUCGGAGUCUGCAACCCGACUCCGUGAAGCUGGAUUCGCUAGUAAUCGCGCAUCAGCCAUGGCGCGGUGAAUACGUUCCCGGGCCUUGUACACACCGCCCGUCAAGCCAUGGGAGCCGGGGGUACCUGAAGUCCGUAACCGAAAGGAUCGGCCUAGGGUAAAACUGGUGACUGGGGCUAAGUCGUAACAAG